CUUACAUAAGGCAGCCGGCCUGAGCGGCCGCCGCGGGGAUGCUGUGGCACUCCGAGCCCAGGAAGCCUUCUGCAGGAUUUUCCAGAGAGGAAAAAUGAGAAAUGGGAAAUGGGGGAAGUGGUGAGCCCACGGCCAGCCCCAGAUCUCACGCAGUCGUGGGCCAAGGAGCGAUCGCCGCCGCAAGAGCUGGAAGGAUGAUUUGUGUGGGAGUGACAAACAGCAGGAACAAAACCAUCGCAGGAACACCAACACCCAACUCAUCCUGCCAGACCUGGAGACGGAAACCUGGAAAAGUUCCGGACACAGGGAGGACACAGAGCACCACAGACCAUGGGAAUGCAUUCAUCUCUAGGAAAGCACCCAGGGGAUGAUGGACAUCCCUCAGUGCCUGCUUGGAUGAAAGGAGAAAGAGCUUUUCAUCCCAAUGCUGAGCCAGAGAGAACUCGCUGAGGCUGGGCGGAAGUGGGAGGGCACUGGCACUGGAGCCAAACGUGGAGCAGUCACAGCAGCAGCCAGCCAAGUGUGGGUGGGAAGCAUCACCUCCAGAGACCAAACCCACUGUCGUCCCCAAAAGAGUUUGAGGAAACAAGCAGAAGGGCACAGUGGGGCUCCCCCCAUAAACCAGGUUUUCCCCGGCAUGGUUUUGGGGGAAAAUUGGAGUUAAGCCUCUGAUCCACCUCUGCAGGCACAAACCCACCUCCGUACCUGUGUGGGCUGCUCAAACUGUGAUGCUGGAAAAGCCAAUGGAGAAAAUCUUAACCACGCCAACCUCCUUCCAUGCCCUUGUCCCUUCUCCAGGGGAACAAUCACUGCCAAGGAUCUUUGCCAAAAUUAGUUCCUUUAAGAUCUGAGGGAUCUUUCUGCUACUGCACCGAGCAGUGGGAGUGAGCCCUUAAAUCCAGUUAGUCACAGUCGCUGGAUUACAUCGGACCUUGUCCUUCUGCCUUUAAUAACAUGAUUGUUUGCUGCAUAAGGAGCUUUAUGUAACUGGGAAUCAGGGGUGAUCCGCAGAACUGCCCAGGCUGGAGCUGUCAACCCUCCCUUCUCUCUGGGCUUGUGUGAACCUCCUGCUGCCAGCCCACAUCUGAGAAAUAAAUAACCUCCUUGCUCUGGCACUUAAAGGUCUGAUGCCAGCUUGCUGCAGUGGUGCUCUUGGCACAGGAUUUCAGUUUGAUAACCACGGGUCAGUAUCAGAGGUGAUGCAGGGAUGAAGUUACCCCUGGAAGCUGUUUCCCAUCCCGCACUUCUCCCUUGAGGACACCCCUCAGGUGCAAGUGGAGUAUUUAGGCUCCCUGCAGGUGCCAGGCAGGAGACCACCAUGUCCAAAGCCACCGAGGCUGUUUGGGGACAGCAGUUACCAGCUCCUUCAUCUAUGAAGGGCAAGUACUUGGAGGCGAAGGCAACGGGCCUGCAGCCUGCACUGCCCACAGCGUGCACAGUGGUCUCGCCCAGCACCAUUAAAUCUCUGUUUUACUGCAACAGAGCAACCUCUGCGCUCCCCCCGCGCUCUCUGCAUCCCUUUUUCCUCUCCGUCUUUUUAAGUGGCUCUGCCAAACAGCGCCUGCACAGCCGAGGCCAAGCACUAGUGCUGGCAGAUGGGCAGCAUCGUUAACGUCUCUAGCAGUGAGCGGUGUCGUGUUUGGUGAAGAGCUGCUCUUUAAGGACGAGUUCGGAGAUUUGACACAGCAGCACGAGUCUGACAUUCCUUUACAAUUUCCCAGUGAUGGCCCCAUGCCAUCACUGCAUCACUGCUGGGGGCUCAGCUGGGCUUCUGUGGCUGUCUCCCUCCCCCAGGCAGCUGGGACAUGGCUCCUGGCACCUGCACCACUCCCCUCACUGGACCGGGCGAGCGGAAAGCUCUGGCUUGCGAGAGCCUUUUCAUUUGAGCACGGGCAGCCUUAAUCCUCACACAGAGUUAAUUUGUUUAUUGUAUUUUGGUUUAUCUAUCAAGUGCUACAAAAUGAAUGUAUAGCCUUGUUGCCAUGCCACCACCCAGCCUAACUCCCAGGGCCAGCACGUCUGUCCGACAGCAGGGGAGUGUUAUUCAUGCAAUUAGGGAAAGGAAGGCAGGUGAAGCUGCCAGAGCAGCUCCUGGCUGAAGGCAGCUUUCUGGGAAAGUAUCAGAAAAGCACAGGACAAACACCGGCUCAACCUCAUCCAGCUGCCGGAGGAACCGCUGUCCCCCCUGGCCCAGGUGACCAAUCAGGGCAGGAGCUGCUGCCACCCGGCACAAAAACCUCACUGGUGGAUCCAGCACUGAAUUCUCUGGACAAUGAUCACUGGCUUAUCCUGUGGUCAAGACACAGCUCUGAGCUCCCCGGUGAGGUACCUGUGGGUGGCACACAGGAGCACUGGCUGGUCCUCAAAACCCAGCAGGGUGAGAGCUGGUGGCCCCAGAGGUGGUCACCGGUGCCAGCUCCUGACAGUGCAGCACACCCUUGGCAGCAUCAUGAUGCCCUGAGUGAGACUUGCUGGAAAAAUAAAUAUUCCAGAGACGCUCCAGGUCAUGUAUUUUUCAUGAGUUUGUUCUGCUAUUGGGAGCUGCACCCUUUAAGAAGAUUGGAUGCAUCUGGAACAGAAGUCAUUUUUAUAGUGAAUAAUUUGCUUGAAAAUCUGAUUCUGAAUAUCUUGGUGCAGAAAACACAGCUUGGCUCCCUGGAAUGAUCCUGCAGGGACCCACCGAGGGUCAGGUGUGCCCCAUGGCUCUGCCCAAGGAGGGCUGCUCUCCUGGCUGCAAACACCAGCAGUUCCUGAAGGGAAGUCUCACUGAAGCAGAAGUUUCAUGUAGAUUCCAGGAGUUUUUGGGAAAAGGCGUGGACCCUUCCCAGCCUGGGGGCUGGCUUGGGUGACCCACUUAGUGCUGCCGGAGCUGGAUCCAUGCAGAUUCACAGUGGGAACUUUGGGAUCCUGGUGAAGCAGCCAGCACAGUAUUUAUUAUUGUGCUGGGUUUCAGCUAUGGAUUUAGAUAUUGAUGGAGUCUGCGCCUCCAAGCAAAGAGCGCUAAUUAGCACCCGCAACAGAGAGCCAGCUUUUAAUUAAACACAGCUUAGCGAGGGGGACCUGUUAGAGACACCAUGCCACGUGUGAGAGUGAUGCGUGCAGGAGGAUUUCGGAGCAGGGCUGAGUCUGGCAGGGCACAAGGCACUGGGACGGGGGUCCCACAGUGGGACAGGGUGUGGGGUGGGCAGCUGCACUGCCAGGACCAAGCAGAGCCUCAGGGUUCCUGAUGCCCACAUUGCCUCCUCCACCAAGAACCAUCCCAUUCCUGUCACUGCAAAUAACCAAACAAGCUGCACAGAGAAGAGAAUAAUAUUAAUAUUAAAAAGGCAUUUAUAGUUUUAAUCAAGCUUUGGGGGGGAAAAGACAGCUUAACACGGCACUUUACACAGUUGAUAAAAUGUUUGACAUUUACUGGUGCCUGUAAUGAAUCUUGUCUCAAUUUUCUCUUUUAAAAUGCCACUCCAGAUACUCUAUCUAUCUGUAGGGUUUAAAAAGCACUUAUCCAACAAAGCGUUAUCACGAUGGAGAGUACGAAAGGGCGUCUCUGCAGAGCAGCACCAGCUCUAGGGUUUGCUGGCAUGCAAGCAGGCCCUGCGUGGGGUGGGCAGAGGAGGGAGAAUCAGUGUGGCUCCAUGGCCCUGCUAUAGCCAGCCCACCAAAACACCCCCAUUUCCCCACUGGUCACAGCACAGAGCGUGAGGCUCGGCUGUGGACCGGUGCCGAGUGCCUGGGAUACAGCAAACUCGAACGCUUUGGAGGCAGAGGUGGCUGGAAAUUUGCUUUGUCCCAGAAGAACAGACCUUGGCUGCCAGUGCUGCCCAUGGCAGGACAGCGCAGGGGUCUGGGUGUUAUCAGGGAACCGCAGUUGUCCUGUGCAAACAGAGCUGCUGCUCCACAGGCGCUGAUCUGAGCGUUCCUGCUCCUCCUCUGGAAGGACACUGCGGAGGGAAGUAUCAGCAGUGAACACAGGCAGCCACCGGCCUGGACUUCCCUUUGAACAACCACUCCAAUGUCCUUUGCUUCCCCCUUUUUCUUUGCUUUUUUUCAGAGGAAAGAAAUGAAUUAUUCUAUGGAAGUUAGUGUCUGUCUCAGGAGCCUGGUAUAGAAAAUUAGGUUUUAAUAGCUUUGAAAUUGAAGCUCUUUGGGUCAAUAGGACAGGAUUCAGACAGUGAAAUCACAGGCCCAUAAAGGGAAAAAAAGCAAAUAUUUUGUUAGUCAUCAGAGAGUCACAGUCCAAAGAUAGCAGGCAGGAGCUUAAAAUACUGCUCUGCUCGUCAGCUCCCGAAGUGUUUAGUCAUAAGCUCCUUUUUUGUGUUGUUGUCUCUCUAUAUAUUAGCUUUGGGAAUGCAGAAUUUGGCUUUCUGUCCUUGGACGUGCCUGGGAAUUCCUCAAGUCACCGCUGGAACUGGAAAGUUAACUCUGAGCUAAAAGCACUGUAAAGUCCGUAAGGUAAAGCCACUAACUCAGGCAGCACUUCAGAUCACACAGGAUGGAGAACUUCCAGACAAGUUCUGCCAACAGGCACUGGAAUUAUUUGACUCAUUAUUAAAGGGAUGAAUGGGUUAUAAUUAUUCCUAAUUUCCUAUUCAGAGCUCAUUACCACCCCUAAGAAGGCGAGGUGGGGAGCCCUUGAGAUCCGGCAAGUUACUUUAAAUAUUCAUACAGCUGAGAGAAAUUUCUCAUGGCUUGGAGCUGUGAUGGGGAAAUGGGUGAAAUGGGCUGGGAGGCUCCCAGCAGGCCAUGGUCACUGCUCCCCAAAGGAGCCCACGCUGACAGCAGCACCAGCCCAGCAUUCAGAGCUGAGACACUGUUAAGGGAUCAUCCACUGGCGAGCAGGAGAUGGACACCUCAGUGUUUUAUCCGGGUCACUCACUGCUUUGUGGCUAUUCCAGGUUUUAGCUGCGGUGAAGUGAGGCAGUGGAAGGCCACGGGACAGGGACAUGGCUCCUGGAGAGCUGCUCUCCUCUGACCGCGGGUGACGGCACACGAGGGGCCGGCGACGCGCACCCUGCAUGUCUCCUACAGCGCACACGCCCCUAACACAUGGAAAUGUCACAUUGCUUCAAGUAUUGCACCCAACUUCUGUCCUCCAAUCAGUGCCCGGUUUCCUUCCAAGGAUAAAGCCGUGCGUUAUUUUUGGCUGGCCACUCCAGCUCAGGGCACUCUCAUUUUCCCCCGUGCACUCAGAGGACAGACGCUUCCCGUGAUUGCCUCAGAGCAAUGACAAAACAAGCACAUUCCUAAUGGCUGGCAGAGCGGGUAUGAAAUAUAUUAAAUGUAUUAACUUUGGCACUUGCUGGGUCUCGGGAGGAGCUCUUGGAGCUGCUCCUGUGCUUCGCCUCCGCUCCCCCGGCUCCUUUAUGCUCUCCCCUUCUGCUUGGAAAAUUCCCUGUCCCCAAACUGCGGCUGCCUGGAGGUCACCAACAUUUGCCAGCAGCUCGUCUGUGCCCCACCGGGAGCGGCCCAGGCCUGCGAGGUGAGGCUGGCAGAUGGCACUCAGCCAUCCCGUGCCACAGAGCAGCUGAGCUGGGCCAGCAGUGCCUGGGCUGGGAGAUGCUCAUUGCUCCCAGGGGCUCUCAUGACCCCAGAGCCAACUCACGAGCAGAGCAGGGAGCAUGGGAAUGUGUCCAGGACAACACGGCCAACUGCUCUGUUGGCUCAGGAACACCCGGACUCAUAAUGCCCAGAUGCUUAAAGCCUGGCUGAGACUCACUGUGGGCUGUGCUGCCAGGAGCAAAGCUCUGCGAGGGGCAAGGCUCUGGGAGGAGUGAGGCGAGGGACAAGGCAAGUGGGAAGUCGCCUUCUUGUCCUCACACUGGGAUGAACUGCCCUGCUGCCAUGUGGGACAGACCACCCCAGGAUGCCCGGCAGGGAAAUACGAGGGGGCCCCUCUGCUCUGCCACCUGCCCAGGGUGGAACUGUGGCUGGCACUGGCCAUGCAGCGUCCACCCACAGCAAACCCAGCCAGCUCCAUGUGGGAAGUGCUCUCCAGGGCUCACUCCCCUGCCACACACAGCCUGGAAUUUGAUUAUGUUUUCAAUAAAAGAUGUGCUGGAAGAUAACCCCCCUGAGUGGCAUCUGCCACGUGGGCUGCUGCUGCCAGGAUGGGAAAAUUGCCCUUUGUUCUUCGCAAAUAAAUCUGAGGGAAAGCCCGUUCUGAGCAGGCAGCAUUCUCUGGGGGCUGCUGAGGACUUUGCAGGCGUUGCCAUGAAUAACAGUUUAUCUACAGAGUUUCGUUCAAAAUGAAGCCUCAGACACAGCCUAAAAUUAUGGGGAUGCUGUGAAAAUGGCUUUAUAAACUAUUGCUUUUUCCUCUCUGAGCAGCAGCAAAGUACAGGCCAGACAAAAGCCAGCCGAGACUCUAACUGUCAUAAAUAAGUCAGCAGAGCUGAUAAAAAUAAAGGAUGAAAUAUAAUUCAGCCAUUCAGUGACAGAUCCCAUCUUAGCUGUGAUAUAGGGUCUGUUGAGACUGUCAUUGCUUCAGGAAAUUAAAGAAUGAGCCCAUUAGUGAGGAUAUUUAAAGAUGCUCAUAUUAAGAUUAUGACUUCCCAGACUCAGCCCGAUCAGGGAACUCACUCGAUUCCAAAGUCAUUUUUCACAGUCCCUUUUCAGUGCUGCUCUGAAGGACCCAAAAGUGCCAUGGGGGGGUCAUGGCAUGAGGGGAAAGUGGGGGCUAUGGGUGACAGCACCCAGCUCAGCUUGUCUGUUGCCAUGGCAAUGGGAAUACCUGUCCAGAGCCUCAAGAGGCAGCACACAGGGGACACCUGGUCCUGGGAGAGGGAUGGUAACCGUGUGCCAUUCCUCGGCACUGCCACUCCUUGCACACACGUGUGAGCAUCUCCACACUCCCUGGAGCUUCUCUUGGAGCCAGGAGCGAUCGCUGCUGUUUGCUUCCACUCCUGCCUGGCAAAGCAAACACGGAUCCUGGCAACAACGGAGCAAAUCACAUCAGAAGAGUGGGUGCCCCAUGAGAAGGAGCCCCAGGGAAGAGGAAGAACAGGGAUCACCCAUGGCCUGGGAGUGGACUCGUGGGUGGCCAUGCCUGAGGGAAUGUUGGGUAAAAGAAAAAAGCAAUGGCAAAAAAAAGGUGAAGGUUCCAGUCCCGGGAUGUUGGAAAACUGAUGGAUUAUUGUAAUUAGUUUUCAGAAUUUUUAAUUAUAGAAGGGGUAUAAAUAAUCACAAAGCACAGCUUCACUAAUGAGAGUCCUUGUGCUCAGAAACACGGGGAUGCAUUUGUUAGGGAGACUUUGAAAGCUCUGCUGUUAAUUAGGUGUCUCACAGCCAGCAGGGUUUCAGGAGAAGGAGAAACAUGUAUACAUUUAAAUCAGGCUCAUUGUGAGAGGUACCCAACAUCAAUUAUGGGAUAGCAGGGUGCUAAAAUGAACGAGCUUUGUAAUUAGAGAGUGGAUCUGAAAGGCAGAGAAGAGCCUUUGCUUCCCCUCAGGUGUCUGCCAAAGGUGUUUAACGUUGGUCAGGACACAGGCAGGAGGAGAUGUGACCUGCCUUCCUCACGCUGGGGAUCAUCUCAUGGCAGUGACCUGGCUUCCAUGUGCCCUGGAGGACAUCCCACGGUGGUGACCUGCCUUCCUCAUGCUGGAGAGCAUCCCACGAUGAUAACCAUGUACUGCAGAACAUCCCAAGGUGUCCUGUGGUGGGCUGGGAUGGAUCAGAGCUUCAACAGGACGUCACUGCUGGGGCCCAUCCAGCCCCGUGCCACUGCUUUUAUUGGAAGAGAAGCAGAAGGGGAGGGGGAAGGCUAGAUUAGUUUAAUUAAGCGUGUGGGAACAGAUUGCAUUUCCCCACCCACAAAACCAAACAGGGCACCUCGGGAGCUGCUGGCCCUGCUCUGGCCCGUACCCAAGACUGGAGGGAGGUCCAGCCUUCCUGUGAUCCCCCAAGGGUGGACCAAGUAAAACAGCAUCCAAAGAGAGCAAGUGAGGAUGUUUUCUUCUUCCACUUCCUUUCUGGGGCCACCUGGUGUGUUUUCUCAGUGGCUAUAAACAAGCAGAAAAGGAGAUGACAAAGGCUGGGAGACGCUUUUUGAAGCUGUGUCUGUUUUCGGCUGCUCCAAGAGCAGCAGUGAGCUCAGACCCCGAGGCCAAUCUCCACUGUUCUUCCUUACAUUUUCUCUUUUGGCUACAAAUUUCAAGCUCUGCCACAGGAGUUUAUGUAAGUAAUUAUGUUUAGUUGGUAUUUGGCUAAAUCUAAUGAAGCAAUGAUAAACAGCUCAGCGUUUUCUUCCUGAUGGCUAAUGAAUAUUAAUUUCUCUGUCAAAAAGGAACCUCUGCUCACUGCAAAAGAUUAGAUUCCCACGCUAACACUUGGGGAGGGGGUAGGAGUUCACCGGAAAAGAUGGAGUUUUGGGAAAGCCUGCAUCUGCUCCUGUAUGGAUGGGUUCAGGUGCCUUCCCAAGGAAUGGCCAUCAAUCCCUAUCUGACCCAUCAGUUUGUUUUGGCAGAAACCUGUCCAAGGCUGAGCUGUGAGGAUGUGUCAGGCACUGAGUGUCCCAUGGCACAGGCAGCAGUGACUGCAGGAAUCCUCCUGCAGCCAGGGAGUGCAGGAAAAUGGCUCAAAAGUCUUCUACAGGUGAUUUUCCUCACAGCGUGUGGCUCUCCCUUUCUGGAACUUGAAGGGUAGGUGUUAAUCUGCCACUUGAUGGUAAUUUCUGGCAGUGUGGGAAAUGUGGUGCUGCUGUCACCACGGGAACCUUGGUACUGGAGAUGACUCUGUGCUCCAGCAUCCUGUGGGAUGCUCCUGCUGCUGGCCCCAGGCCAGCCUGGCACUCCCAAGGGCUUGGGGCGCUCACCCCAGCUCCCUGUGCUGCUCCGUGCUGCUCGGAGCGACGACUCAGUGCCAGCAUCGCGUUAAACUGUUCUAACUUUAAUCAGCUCGUGGGCUGCAGUGAAACGCAGCUCACACAUGAUGUGAGGGGAGCCGUGUAGCUCCUCCCGGGGAGGGGGCAGCGUGAAAAUGAAUCUGCCCAGGUGGGGAGGGGCAGCAAGACCCAGGUGGCCACUGCAGGCCCCCAGCAGGAUCCCUGUGUGGUGAUGUUUGCCAAGCCAUCUCCUUCCAGCACGCUGCUGGCUGGCAUCCCUCCUCCGAGGAGGGAAUUGGAUCGUCUUCUUCCCAGCAGCUGGUCUCAACAGCCCAGUAGGAUGUGUUGAGUUUCUUGACGUUGCGCUUGAGCAUCAGCACCCUGUGCCUGAGGCGGUGCCAAGGACUGGGGAAGCAUCCUGGGCACAGUGGGGUUCGGGUCUGUCUGUUUAGAGGGGCACAGAGAGACCAGGGCAGCUCCUCAGCACCUGUUGACAUCUUGGCAAGGUAUCAGGAAGCUCCUGCAGGAGCACACCCAAGCCAAGGCACUGGAAGGGACUGGAGAAGCAGCAUCAGGGUUUACAGUAAAAACAGAUGCUAAACUUUGAUUUUUGGCAAAAGGAAGCCACUUCAGCAUCUGCUUGAGGAGAUGCCCAGGCUGGGGAAUGUGGGAGCUCCCAGAGCCCAGCAGCUGCUUAAUCAAGCUCAUUUUUGCUGUUCAUCCUUGUGCAGCUCAGAGACAACAGGAAAAGCACCAACGAGUGCACCCACCGAGCGGUUUAAGGCACUUCAACGUGCUAAACAGUUUGCCCACAUUGUGGAACUUUGUUCCCUGCGGUUCAACUUCCCAGCGGUGCUGCCACCCACCGCGCUCUGCACUGCAAACCUGCUCGUCUCUCCAGAGCCAGCCUGGGAAAGGGAUGUGAGUGGUGGCUGCUCUGCCACUGAUGGGUACAACUGAGUAUUCCUUACAACGAGGGGGAGAGGAAAGGGUGCCCUGCGCAAAUACCAUCUGCUUUCAGAUUCAAAUAAAAUUAUAGCAAAUCUGCAGCACUGGAGAUAAAAAUGGUAAUGAGUUUUAAUAGUUCCCUUUGAUUUCUGCUAUUGAAAUCGACUCCGGGAGGCUGAUAUUGUAUUGGGAGAUGUUAGAUCCCUGGCCACACAUCAGGCAGCUGUGCAGCUUCCAGGAGUGAGGGAGAGGGAAUGCUGCUGUCACCACUCUGGAGCAUCGUGGCUGUGGCAGGAGUGGAGACCUGCGAGAGGCAGCCAUUACAGCAGCCGUGCAAUUAGUCCAGCUAUCGAUCGUUAAUACACUUUUAAUCAAUAAUCUGGGCAAAGCUGGGAGCUGGAUUGAUGUUGCAGGGGUGUGCAGUAUCCAUAAAAUUGUCAUCUGAGCACCCAGGGAGGUGAGUUGCUUCUCCACUGCUGAUUAGCUGGACGGGGCUGUAAUUGGCCCGGGAAAGGCAGGAGGUGAUGCCAGAUUAUUCAUUCCCAAGUGCACAUCCCUGCCUGACACACACACCCCCACCAGCACCAGCUCUGCGCCCCCUCCCCUCACUGUGGAUCACCAUUCCAGCUAAUUGUGCACGUUCAUGCACACUCAUCAACGUCGAAAUGCGGGAUUGGCACCCGUUCCCUGAGACUGAGCUCAUUACUGAUGCUGCUGAUCAAUUAAUGAUCUCGCUGUCCCUCAUGUGCGCAGCCACGAGCCCAGAUGGAAUGAGGGACACGGGAAGGAAGUGCCUCUGCAUCCCUGCUGGUGUGAAGGGCCUUAACCCCAAUUUCACCGAAGGAGGCAUCACCUCACUCUGAAGUCAGAUCACGUCACCGCCACGAGCCGUGGCUGCGCUGGCAAACUUCACUUCUGCCAAAUGGAUUUCUCUCCUGCCGUGGGCCGUGGCUGCCGGGAGCUCAAGACUGGCGCCCUGGGCUCCGGAUGAGCUCCGUGUGCUUGCAAGGAGCCAUCUGGGUCAAAUAGCAGGAGGAAAGCUCAAAAGCUCUUUUUUUUUCCCUCUCUUAGAGCUCAAGGGCAAAAUUUGAACAUCAGAAGCAGGGACAAGUCUUCCUGGGCUGAUUUGUGAACAUCUUGUUGAGACACCCAGGAUCAGAUCUGAGAAUAUUUUAGUGAUGCGGAGAGUGAUUCAGAGUCAUCCAGGUUAUCCCCCUAUCACUGAGGAUGCGAUUGAAAUGUUUUGUAGCUGAAUAUCACCUGGGAAGAGCCGAGCAGUCACACUGGCACACAGACUGUCAUGUUUAUAUCCCAGGGUCUCCUCAGCUUCCCAGCAAGGCUGAGAGGAGCAUCCAUCACUUUCAUACCGGGGCUCUGCUCUGCGGCAGGGCUCCCUCACUCAGUGCCACUCCUGGAUCUGACCCAGCUGCUCUAGGAGGGUGGGCCACAGCCCUUUCCCUGGCUUCUCAUCCAGCAGGUCCAGCCAGGACUGAUGACAUCCUCAUGGGAAAGGCCAGGGCGAUGCUGUGGCUCAGGAAAAGCUGAUCCCUAUGUUUUUUCUACCAGAAGUUUUAAGUGCAGGAUGUUAACUUCUGGAGCCCGUGGAUGCAGCUCAGCCUGGGGGCUGCGGCAGUGAUCAGAGACCAUGGGAUGUUUAGGAUGGCCAGGUCCCCCCAGCUCCCACCCCAGUGUCCCUCUGCCAUGGCAGCACCCCCUCAGUGAGCGGCUGCAGGAGCAGCUGUCCAAAGGAAUCUCCAAGCACCUUUCCAGCGGGUGCUGUUUGCUUCCCGGCUGCCGGCGUGCGCGGAUGAAACGUUGCCUCAUUUCUUCCCUCGGCGCUAGCCAGCUGCCCAAAGACAAACUGUCCUCCCUUGGGGGGUACAUUAGAAAUGCUUAAGCAAAUUAGCCAUAAAUAGAAAAUGUAACAUAUGGGGCUGUAGAUAAUGUUUCAUUAUAAAUUAUCAUAUUCUCCAGGGAGAUACGCCUCUUCCCUUCACACCAAAGACUCUGGGUUUCUUCUUCUGUGUAGAUUUUGAGUUUCUUCUUCUUCUUUCUUUUUUUUUUUUUUUUUUUUUUUGGUAAAUGUUUCUGACAACAAUUGGACUCAGUAGUUGAUUUCCUGGGUGCGGAAAUUGGGAUAUGUAGCUCACUUCUGCUGCAAAUCCUCUUGGAUUUAAAAUUCCCUCAUUAAAAAAAGGAAAGAAGUGAAUACAGUCCUGAUGAAAGGUGCCUGAGCGAAGGCCCUGAAGAUUAAAUGGGGCUGUUUAUCCACCACAGAGUUGCACCAAGGACAACAAGGCUGCUUCCCUGGCUCUGUCCCAGCACUGCUUGCACAGCCAGACCACAGUCCCUGUUCUCAGCCGCGUGGAAAUCAGGCACUUUCCAAAACAGGAACACCUACGAAUUAUUCCCUUCUCCUGCUUGGGCUGAACAGCUCAAGAGGAAUCAGCCCAGUGCAGAGGCAUCUCCCUGGGAGCCCAUCCAUCAUCCCAACACCAUUCAGCUGUUGGGGAUCCUGGUGGGCAGCACCAAGCUCCUCCCUCCUUGAGUAAAUAUGAGAAAACUGGUACUAUUUAUCCAGCUACAGAGUCCUUGAGGGAACAGAUUCCCCAGACAGCCCAAAAUUCAUCUUUCACAUCUUGAAAAUUGACUGGUUUGGUGUUUUUUUUCUGUUUUACUUACAAUCCCCUGGGUUUUUUCCCACAGUGAUCCAGAAACAAGUUCCCAGUGGCCACACAGAAUGUCCCAUCUUGCUCUGUCUGAGUAGGCAUUUUUCUUCUUGCUGAAACCUCCCUGAACUGACCUCCACUGGAGUCUCAAUCCUGACACAGAUGGCAGCGGAAAAGAGAUUUUUUUUCCCCAAAAUAUUGUUGCGUAUGCAAACACAGACUGGGCAGGCAGGAGCCAGAGCACAGGAAGUAGUUUUCUGCUCCAGAGCUAUAGGUGCAUAUGGAUGUUGGUCUCCAAAACCCAGAAACUGAACCCAUUAGAAGCACUUCAAGUGAGAUUAUUGCAGACGCAGAGAGUUACCUGCUGUAAUUGCAGAAAUCUUGGUGCUUGCAUCCUGGAGCUAAUGGAUGUCAUCAAAGCACUGAAUGAGUCCUGAUUUUGGUAGUUACAGUCCCACCUGGCACCUCCGCCUCUCCGUAAUAACCACAAGCUUAAGGGAAAGGAAACGCAGAAAGGAACAUCUGUUGCAAUGCAAACAUUUGGGAGGAUGAUGGCAGCUCCUGGCAGAGAUGUUUCCCUGCGUGGUCACACGUGCAAUGUGUCCACUCCUGGUUUGUCAGCGUCCUCCUCGCCUGCUGGUGGGAUGCAGAGCACUGGAGCUCAUGUACCAGUAGGAUGCAGGGAGAGGAGCGGGCGUGCUGGUGGGAUGUGGAGCUCUGAAGCAUCCGUGCUGGUGGGAUCCUGUCCUUCCUAGGACCAAACUGAACCUGGCAGGGUGGGAUGUGGCUGUGCAAACAGCCAGUGGGACGCUUUCCCCGUUGUCCUAUCCCUGGUAUGCUGCUGCACGCUGUCAGAGAGGAUUUGCAGUGGUUCCCAGUGGCACUGAGGGGUUUAGCAGACAUCUCGUUAUGCUGGGGACAGGUGAUUUAACUGGGUCAGCAGGCUUUGCUCUGCAAAGGCUUAAACCUCUCCAUUAGCUGCCUCUGCGAGUCUCCUGCAAACUUCAAACCAGGAGGAAAAAUGCCUUCAAAUUGAUGUGGAAUUUCAUUCUUGAUGGAACCCGGUGGAGAUGCGCCCCUGUCUCGCUAUUGCCAAAACGAGAUGGGUGCUGAGGGGGGUCCUACCUUGCUCCCCACAGGAUGCUCGCAUGGCACUGGGGCUGGAGGGGACCCAGCAGUGCCCACCUCAUCCCUCUGCCUCACCGUCAUCGCUCCCAGCAGGAGAUGGAGGUGCCAUCAGGAGACACAAACACCGGAUUUUCCAUCUCCGGGAUCCCCCCUGUCCCUUGAGGCUUUCAUGCUGUACGGACCCUCACAAGGACCUCGGGGUGCGGUGACAGUGGUGGGACCAGAGUCCCUGUUAAAUCUCCUUCGAACAUUCGAGCUGGGAGCAGUGGCUGUCAUGGCCCACGAGGCUCGGAGAAACUUUGUGCCCAAGGAAAUAUUGACCUUUCCUGCAGAGCAGCAGAGCACAAGGAUGAACUGAGCUGUGCCUUCAGCACCCGGCUGAGAGCUGAGCAUCCCGCGGAUCAGCCCCGCCAGUUAAAAUAAACAGCAACCCCAGUGCAUCCCUGCCAGGCCAGAGCUUCGGCUUAUUGUUCCAGUCAAAAUAGAAUUAUCGCCCUGAGGCCUCGGAGAUCAAAAACGGGGGAAAAGAACAGCGAAAGCAGUGAGGGAAUUGCUGGAGCAGUGAUUCUCUUGCCAGUGUUGGGAGCUGACGCUGGAUUCCUGUAGACACAGGGUGGGAGUCGCAGCCUACUCGGGUGCUUGAUCCCUUCUCUUGCUCCUUGCCAACCUCUGGCUUUUAUAGCCUUCAACUUGGACUUUUUUUUUAAAAACACAAAUCCAUUGGUCACUUUCUUGCUGUGGCAUGACGCACUUCAUGCAACAAGAUGGACAAAGGCAAGGGGGAUCUUGAGCGUGGGGCAGCACGAGCCCUUGCCAGCAAAUCCUCCACAGCCAAAAACAUUGGAGUCCUAAACCUAGUUGGAACAGGAGAGGGAGGCAAUGCUCUCUGGACAUCUUGGUCUCCUCUGGAUGCUGUGACAGGCUCUGGGGCUGGCAGUAAUGCCCGGUUCACACAGAAUUCCAACCAGGCGGGAAAUUGAGGCAAAAUCUGUCUAGUGUGCUCCGUGUGCUGGUGAUGAAUUAUUCAUCCCCUCCCAGCCAGCAUUUCCAUGCAAAAGGGCCACCUUAGUACUAAGGAGACAGGAGGAAGACGGCAGGGCCGUGGGUCCUGCAGGAACACCACGCACUUCCAGGAGCGGAGCGGGCGCGUCUCCCGCACGUCUGCGCAAAGCAAACAUGGAUUAUGCCGUUUCUUCAGGCCUUUCAUUUCACACGUCAUUUUUUCUAUCUAAGUAUAGGUUUACACGAGAGGUAAUUACCAUCCUUUCACAGCUCUUAGUGCAGAGCAAAAUGAGAUGGAGUAUUACAUUCGUAAUCUAAUCGUAAAUAAAAAGGGCCGUAAUAACCCCCAAUUAGCACAUUAAA